UUAAAAAUGAUGACGUAAUACACAAUUGAUAAGCGCAUUUGAUCUAUUUUUGAAAAAGUGUGCUUUCUAGUGAUUUUCGCUAUUGCGAGGCAUUUGUCUGAUUAUAAU